AUGGUCGAGAUAGAACGUGAGGGACGAGACCUCCCGCCUGCGGGCGGGUGGCACGCUUCGCACGCCGUCGGCACCUCUGCCGGCUAGCGGGUGUUUCAGAACUCUCCGCGUGGCGUGACGGGCGUCAGAGCUCCCGAACUCGAACGACUUGAAGCCGGUCUCGGCUGCGGCAGGCCGUGGUACCAGCCAGGUUUAAAGGCCCUCAAGGGGGUCGCCAACGGUCGCGCCGCUGAUUCGAGCGGCGCCUAGAACGAAGAAGCGAGGCCCAAUGGCCGUGGGGUGCGGUCUGGCGUGACCUCCCCAGUGGUCGCACGUCGCGUGCCCACGGCCUGCUUCGCGGCAAAGCACGGACCUGUCCGAUGCUGCCACAUGGAUGGCGAAUGAAACGCACAACCCUGAACGGUGGAUCACUUGGCUCGUGGGUCGAUGAAGAACGCAGCAAAUUGCGCGUCGACAUGUGAACUGCAGGACACAUGAACAUCGACGUUUCGAACGCACAUUGCGGUCCUUGGAUUUCCAAUCCCGGACCACGCCUGGCUGAGGGUCGGCCUUCUGAAACCACUGGGCCCGCCGCGUACGGCUGCGGGCCCGAAGAUGAGGGCACGCGCGCUCGUCCUAUCCGGGCGGGUCGCGCGACGCUCUUGAAGUUUAAGAUAGUGCUGUCGUGGCUAACCGCGCCCUCCGGCGCACGGCUUGAGAGGGGAAGGUCCCGAAUUUUGAACGACACAG
rnacentral:rRNA from 1 species